AUAAAGUUUUGAUCCUAAACUUACCGCUAUUUUAAGUCAAAAUUAUACAUGCAAGCAUCAACAUUCCAGUGAAAAUGCCCUAAACAACCACACAAAACAAAGGAGCAGGUAUCAGGCACAAACACUAGCCCAAGACAUCUUGCUAUGCCACACCUCCACAGGUACUCAGCAGUAAUUAACAUUAGGCCAUGAGCGAAAGCUUGACCUAGCUAUGACCCUCAAGGCCGGUAAAUUUCGUGCCAGCAACCGCGGUUACACGAAAGGCCUAAAAUAGCCCCAACGGCGUAAAGCGUGACUAGAACCUGUGCCGACUUACUUAAGUUAAACCUAAACUUAGUUGUAAAACACCUAAACCCACAGAAAACUACCCACUUAAGAAAGCACGGACCUUUAACUCACCAAAACUAAGAAACAAACUAGGAUUAGAUACCCUACUAUGCUUAGUCCUAACCCCCGAUAUCUACCACACAAACUUAUCCGCCAGAGAACUACAAGUGAAAAACUUAAAACUCAAAGGAUUUGGCGGUGCUCCANNNNNACCUAGAGGAGCCUGUCCUAUAAUCGAUAACCCCCGAUCAACCCAACCGCCUCUUGCCCCCCCCCCAGCCUAUAUACCGCCGUCGCCAGCUUAUCCCAUGAGGGUUUAAAAAUAAGCACAAUAGUCAAAGCCACUAAAACGUCAGGCCAAGGCGUAGCUAAUGAGUCGGCAGCGAUGGGCUACACUCUCUACAAAAGAUAAAACGAAUGGUACUAUGAAAUAGCUGCCGGAAGGCGGAUUUAGCAGUAAACUAAGCAAGAACACUUAUUUUAAAAAAGCCCUGGAGCACGCACACACCGC
rnacentral:ncRNA from 1 species